GAAAAGAAAGAAAGAAAGAAAACCCCAGUCUAUGCAAGUCUGGAAAAUAUUGCUUUAGCCAUCUGUGAACAGUAGGAAAAUUCAAUAAUCAAACACAUUUCACAUCGAUCACAGCAAAGAAAGAGAACUUUUAGUUAUGCUUACCCAGCUAUUGAAGCAACCAGUAAUACAGAUUUGUAUCUGGUUUCUAUCAGUUUAUGGACUCCAAUCCUGUUACCAGAACAUUUUAAUUCCAAACCUGGCUCCUUGUGGGAGGGUUGGGGGGGAAGAAACAAAUCUGUCUUCCUAGUGGUUGCAAAGGUACUCCCAGUUCCUUUGUAAAAUAAUCCUUGUAGCUGGACUCCUAAGGCACCAGGAACUCUUCUCCCCAGCCCUCAGUUAAGCACCUAGGAGUGAAUGGAAAGUAGCCGCGCGAUGACGGUGAAGGCGUUGUGUGAUCCAGCCGAGGCAGCACAGAGUGCACGGCUGGAUCCCGUCACGGCAGGAGCGCCUCUCCCUCGUGAUGCUCUAGCAGCCAUUUUACCACAGCUGAGAAAACAGCAUGCCUUCUGCAGAUCCUGA
rnacentral:lncRNA from 1 species